GGAAAUUCAUUUCAGGAACAAGAAAAAAGUACAAUGGUGGGACUCAGACCCUUUGAAGAGCCUUCAUGCUUCCCUUUGUUUACUCUGCAUCUGAUACAAUUUUAUCAGAAACAAGAAAUGCAACACUUGAAAUUGAAAAAAAAAGAAAUAGUAAAUAAAAGAAACAAUGAUUUUCUUAGAAAGACCGACAAAAAUUUCUUAAAACUGACUACAGCUACAACUCCCUCUUUCUCUACCUUGUAUACUUUAUUUCUCCAUCAUGCCAUCCCCAUCCAGCUAUCCGCUAUUGAUGAGUGCUAGAACUUUUCUCUUCAAAUGCAUGCAAUUCUCCGUGGAAUGGCCCUGAGUCUCAUCAUGGUAAUCAUCAUAUGCAUUAUCAUCAUACCAGCUCAGGUACGGAGGGUGAAGGGGCUUUACUAGAACUUUUUCAAGGAGUUGCUUCUCAUGACGCUAGGGUAGUAAUUUAGAGUAAAA
rnacentral:lncRNA from 1 species